AGCCACAGGAUCGGGAGAAUCCGGGGGCGACCCCGGUGCCGAAGGAGCAACCGCCCCGGUAAACUCUCAGGCGCAAGGACCGUCCUGUUUCG
rnacentral:ncRNA from 2 species